UUCGUAGGCAGCGAGCGUUGUUCGGAGUUACUGGGCGUAAAGAGUGCGUAGGCGGUUUUCUAAGUUUGGUGUGAAAUCUCCCGGCUUAACUGGGAGGGUGCGCCGAAGACUGGAAGGCUUGAGUAUGGGAGAGGUAAGCGGAAUUCCUGGUGUAGCGGUGAAAUGCGUAGAUAUCAGGAGGAACACCUGCGGUGUAGACGGCUUACUGGACCAUCACUGACGCUGAGGCACGAAAGCGUGGGUAGCAAACAGG
rnacentral:rRNA from 1 species